rnacentral:rRNA from 1 species
AGUAGACGUUAGGUCGAACGGGGUACGGAGUAAGGACCGUAGGUAACCGUGCCUCGGUAUCGGGGGAGUAACUAUUGAACGAUAGCUAUAACCGCAUAACAGUAGAUGUUGCAUGACAUUCUUAAAAGGUAGCAAUUGCAUCACUACCAGAUGGACCUGCGUUGUAUUAGCUAGUUGUGGGGUAACGGCUCACCAAGGCGACGAUACAUAGCCGACCUGAGAGGGUGAUCGGCCACACUGGGACUGAGACACGGCCCAGACUCCUACGGGAGGCAGCAGUAGGGAAUCUUCGGCAAUGGACGGAAGUCUGACCGAGCAACGCCGCGUGAGUGAAGAAGGUUUUCGGAUCGUAAAGCUCUGUUGUAAGAGCAGAACGAGUGUGAGAGUGGAAAGUUCACACUGUGACGGUAUCUUACCAGAAAGGGACGGCUAACUACGUG